AUACGGAAGGUCCGGGCGUUAUCCGGAUUUAUUGGGUUUAAAGGGAGCGCAGGCGGAGAUGCAAGCGUGACGUCAAAUUUCGGGGCUCAACCCCGUCUCGCGUCGCGAACUGCGUCCCUUGGUUGCGGGAAGGGGAGGCGGAACUCGUGGUGUAGCGGUGAAAUGCAUAGAUAUCACGAAGAACUCCGAUCGCGAAGGCAGCCUUCCGGCCCGUCAACGACGCUCAUGCUCGAAGGUGCGGGUAUCAAACAGGAUUAGAUACCCUGGUAGUCCGCACAGUAAACGAUGGACACCCGCGGUUUGGCCUGUAUGGCUGAGCCGCCAAGCGAAAGCGAUAAGUAAUCCACCUGGGGAGUACGCCGGCAACGGUGAAACUCAAAGGAAUUGACGGGG
rnacentral:rRNA from 1 species